rnacentral:lncRNA from 1 species
AGCAAAUGCAUUUAAAAAGGAAACUAUAUUACUUCCACAAAUGAAAAGCUUAUGUCAUUUGCCAAGAAAGGAGGUCUUCAUAAAAUAAAUGCAAAAAUAUUAAAAUUAACAACCACAAUGCAUGUAAAACCUAAACUCAUCCCUUGGACCAUCUGAGAUGCACACACCACACUUUCCUUUUAUUCCACCAAGCAACUCACCUCAGCCCACCUUUCUUUAUUGCUGCAAAUCUCACCAGUGAGUCUUUUCCAUGUGUAUGUAUUUUUCCAGAGUUGGUCAUCUUGUACAUACUUUUGUAAAUAUAUAUAUAUGUCCUGAGCAUUUCCGUAUACUUUCAAAUACUAAAUACUUAUUUUCUUUGGAAAGGUAAUUCAUUAAAUGAUACAAAGACUA